UUAGACGUAUAAAUUUGUAAGCACCAAACAAGUACGGCAUUUUUUGUUGGGAUUUAAUUGAAUUAUUUGGAGUGGUCGAAAGAGAAUGAAAAGACGAGUAGUCUGUUGCAAUGUGUGUACCUUGAGAAGCCACGUAGCUAGGGAACUGCAACACGUAAAGGUGAUUUUCUUUUAACCUUUUCUCAAUCGAUCUUCAAUUUGUUUUGUUUGUGUUCAAUUGAUCAAUGGAGAUAUUUUCUUUAAAAUUACAGCAACUAAACUCUGUAAUGUAAUGGCAGAUUACAAACAUGCAAAAAAGAAAGAAGAAGAAGAACGCAACUUAUUAAAAGACUCUUCUGAUUUCCUUUGUUGACAUGAACUCGAAUUUGAAUUUUGGUUGCUACUUAAUUCAAAAUCAAAUUUGGAGUUGAAUUGAAUUUCUAUCCAAGAGACUUGUACUGAAUUGAGAGACAGAAAGAGAUGGCAAAGAAGAGGAUUUGGAAAUAAAGUGGGAUCCAUCUUUCCUUUUCUUUUUCUUCUUUUGGAUUCCCUUUUCAGACUUCUUUCCCAUCUAGGUAUGUCAGGGCACAUUGUUCUUUGUCAAGCGCUAGUACAUGUGUAUAUGUUGCUGAUAUGAAGUGGUCAUGUAGUAGGUAUGUAAUAGAUACGAACUUCAAGAUGGAAAAACAAAAGUGCAAUCAUCAAACUUGGAGAUAGAAAGGAACCAUCGAACUUGGAUGAAAGAGCAACAAUGCAACCCUCGUGAGAUGGAGAAGCAAUAAAGAAGCAACCAGAAAACUUGGAGAUAGAACAGGCAACAGUGGACUUUGAAUCUCCCAGAUGUGACAAAGCCAGAAAGCCCAGACUUGGUCGCAAGGAUGAGGCCAGAAAGCUAAGCCAGGCAAAUCGAACUUGAUUUCACAUAUGAGGUGAAGCCAAAUGCACCAGACUUGAUCUUCCAAGAUGAGGCAGAGUAAUGUGGAUUAGGCUUGAUUUUUAAGGAUGGGGCAGAACCAAACGGACAAGACUUGAUCUCACAUAUGAGACAGAGCCAUGCAAAUCCAAAAUUGAACUUUGGAGAUGAGGUGGAGCCAGGCGGAUCGAACUUGAUCUUAGAAGAUGAGCGUAAUCUUGAACACACAUAUGAGACGGAGAUCGACGAAUUAGAUUUGAUCUCACAUAUGAAACGAAGCUAAGUGGAACAGGCUUGAACUUCAGAGAUUAGGCGAAAAUAGGAAAGUAAACAGUGUCUUGCAUAGGAAGGCGAGGUCACAUCAUAACUUAGGAGAACUUUAGAGAUGAGGCAAAACUAGAUGAACUAAAAACUUGAUAUUAAAGAUGAGGAAAGUCAGCAAACCAGACUUGAUCUCAUGUAUAAGGUAGAGUUAGGCAGACCAAGAGCUUGAUCUAGCAUAUGAGGUAGAUUUGUUUAAGUUGGUAGCAUACUCUCGGAUAAAGAGAUCAGUUCAAAUAUAUUUUUUUACUAAAUUGAACUAAAGUUUCCUACCAGCUAUGUAGUUACUUACCAAUUGAAGAAAGAGAUCAAGUCAUUAGGUGUGCACAUAAGUCAGAUUGGAAAAUUAUGGACCAACUCAAAGUGUUCGGGUUGGCAAAAAAUGAACUUAUCGAUGAAUAUAUGCAAGUGUUAACCCAACCCCAACCGAACUAAAAAAUUUCAAGUUGGGCUGGGUUAGGUUGAUUGUUUUUUUUUUUUUUCA